rnacentral:rRNA from 1 species
CCCUUAGAUGUCCGGGGCCGCACGCGCGCUACACUGAAGGAAUCAGCGUGGCUUUCUCCCUGACCCGAAAGGGUUGGGAAACCCGUUGAAUCUCCUUCGUGAUAGGGAUUGGGGCUUGAAAUUGUUCCCCAUGAACGAGGAAUUCCCAGUAAGCGCGAGUCAUAAGCUCGCGUUGAUUACGUCCCUGCCCUUUGUACACACCGCCCGUCGCACCUACCGAUUGAAUGGUCCGGUGAAAUCUUGGGAUUUUGUUUUGUUUGCAUUUAUUUGUAUCGAGACGAGAGAACUUGAGUAAACCUUACCAUUUAGAGGAAGGUGAAGUCGUAACA